CCUUAUCCACGACACUCUCCUUUCCAUUUAUUUGGUGAGGGUUUUUUUGCUUUGUUUUGUUUUUUGCAGUAGCAAUGGGAGUGGGUAAGGCAGGUAGAUUAUAUGCUCUUUUGCUUCUCUGAAGUGGCCUUGAAAAAGUUUGAAAAUCACAAUUUGAGGAACACAUCAGGGAGGAAAAUUCACUCUUGCCAGACCUCCUGUGAGGAAUGAAUAGCAAUAGAAAUAGUCAAAUGAUCAGUGUUCUACCUAAAUUUUGUUAAUCUUUUCCCAAGGUAAAGUGCGUACAAUUAUUUUUUACAGGAUGCUUUGCUGAUUUUUCUUUCAAGGACAAAAGAUUUGUAGUCUGAGCAGCUGGAUCACUUCCUCCCACUAUUUUGUCCUUGGAGACAUUUGGCCCAUUAAAAGGAGCCCACGGAUUCCAUUUCAACAGAUGCAUCUCACAUUUAUUCAGGAUAUAAGUGAUAGGGUGACUCAUUGUGCUGCUAAUACAAUUACAGUCUUUGUUGUUUUAGAAUCAUAUCUUGAUUCCAUAUAGGCAAAGAGAUUUAUCAUUAUACCCUGUUGUAAAGAAAGACUAAAAGGACAAUAUAUGUGUAACAUUGUCAGAGAAACUGGAAUGUUCCUACUUGAGAAUAAAAUGAACAGUUUGUCAUUUGAUUCACAGCCUUAGGUGAAUGCACAUAGAAUGUGGGCUUUCUGAAAUUCAGUAUAAAGCCAGGGACUCCUGGGUUUGUAACACUGGAAAACCUAUAAUGAGGUGCUCUGGGUAGCUGGUUGUUGAGAAAUAAAAAAGAGAGAAAGAACUCUUAUUCACUUUCUUAUAUGUUUUGUACAAAUUCUAUCUCUACGUGAGUAAAAUGCAAGUACUGGUAAGUACAGUAUUUGAAUUUUACUUUUGAUCGCUUUUGGACAAACAUGUACAUACAUUUAAAUUCUCCAAAGCAAAUUUUUGAAAAAGCUUUAUUAUUAAGGCAAUUCUGUUUCUCCUUCAACAAUGUCUGUCCCUUCCCUUUCUUUCUUCUACUACUUUUAGCUCCCAGUUUCUGUAGGGGUUCUUGAGGCAGCAGGAAGAGUGAAUACAGCUGCCUACUCUUCCUCAAACUACUUUCCUGGGGCCAAAAGUUUCAUUCAGGAAGUGAAAGAAACAAGUUUGAUGUUCUGGUGAUUUUGUAUUACAAUCCACAGUCCUGGUGCCUGCUUUUAAAAUGAAGUUUUAUCAGUACACUGCUGCACUCAUUCAUUGAUGUAUUGUCCAUAGAUGCCUUCAGGCUACAAGGCAGAGCUGAAUAGAGAGGACUCCAAGGACAUACAGGAGGGAGACAUGGCGAGAUGGAAGGGGCCUGGGUUCCUGAAUGUGAAUGUGGAGCAGAUCUCCUAGCCCCACACUUGCCAUCACCAGCCCAUAUUGCACUGUGAUGAGAUCUUUUGUGCCACUCUUACCAUCACCCCACACUGGACUGUGAUGAGAACAAGCAAACAUUUAUUGUAAGUCACUGAGUUUUGGGGUUGUCUGUGAUAACAGUGAGUCUAGCCUGACGAAUGUACUGGCUGUCAUUCUUCUGUGUAGCAUUGUUAAUUUUUAGUCAUCAUCUUCACAAAUGCAAUCACUUUCAUGACAUUAUAUUUUGCUGUAUUGUAUGAAAUAGAUGACAUGCUAUAAAGGUGUUUAGAAAUGUGAAGAUGUGUGGGCAUAUUCAUUGAAAAUAAAAAGGCUCUUAUGUAGUUCUUCCUCCACAACA